rnacentral:lncRNA from 1 species
GGGAGAACAGCCACUUCCCCAAAAGAAGAGAACCAAUUUCCAUCGACAAAGGGCUUUGCUAUGUAAAGAAGCAGCUUUUGACCACUGGGAAAAGCAGCUUCAGAUGCACUUGGCAUGCUGGUGGAAUGGUUCUUGAGGGAGUGGGACAGCCUUAGUGAGCAGAACUAUCGGGAGUGAGUCACUGAUGGCAAAAAGUGGGAUUGUUGGGAUGGACAGAAUGAGGAGAGGCUGUGAAGAUAAGGAAAAAGCAGCUGAAUUAGCUCAGAGAUUCAAAGCAAAUGGCAGUCUUUGAAUGACCAGGCGAGAAAAGCAGCUUCAGAAGCAAGACAAAAUGAUAGCUGGACUCUAAAGAAGGCCAGUAAGUGAAUGAUAUGGAUUUUAUUGCAGAAAUAUGCAGCAAAAGAAUGUAAUUAUAAUCAUGAUUUAUUAAAAUGAGCUGUGAAGCGUCCCAGUUUAAAGAAGCUUUUUAUAGAGGAGGCAGCCCACAUAUUGCCUAUCCAAUUAACAAGAGAGAUUUGUGGACAUAGGAUGUGGGAACUGGCAGCCACAGGGUGAAUGGAAGUGUGUCUGUAAAUCACAUUUUGACAAGUGAGGGAGAAGGCCUGGCUCAUCACAACCACUCUGCUGUCUCUGUCUCUUUUUCUUCCAAUCCAGAACUGAAGUGUUUGUCCCUUCAAACAGCUGUCCUGCCUUUGCUUCUUUUGAUGCCGUGAAGUUCAUCAAUAUUCAUCAGAACUGGAAAGAGAGAGACUAAUUUUCAGCAGAAGCAGCUGAAUGACACACUGGCAACACCAGCACUGGCAACAAGGGCAGAUCCUUUGCCCUUUGCUGUCUCUCACCCUGGACACUUACCAUGCCACCACAGUGCUGCUGGCUGGAGGAGGUCUGCCAAGCAUUUAGAAGUGAUGCCUGCACUAAUCCUACCAGCUCCCAGUGAGAGCACAGGAAAAUCUAAGCAAGCUUGCAAGCUUCCAGAACUGUGGAUUCUCUGCAAGCUGAGCUCGGGCAAGGAAGGCCAAUAGCAGGAAAGGAAAACCUGCUGCAAACCCAUCUGAAGGCAAAGGGCUGGGACCUCUGGCUGGCAGCAACUUACAGGAAUGCCACUGUUGUUUUGUUUGCAGUGAUUAAAGGUGAGCUUCUUAGCCCUGUGCUAAGGGAUUUCUUGCCUUUGAAACACAUUUUGUUAAUUAUUGCAUCCUAAUUCACUUUCUACUGUGGAAUAAACCUUGCUGUGGACAG